ACAGCGGUUGCGAAACAGGUGCGAAACUUGCUUACGUGUACCACCACAUCAGCCAAUAUUUUAAUAUUAAAAAAAAAACAAAUGACAAAAGUCGAAAAAGUGGAGGGAAAUCAAAUAAGAAGUACGUUGCAGAGGUACUCGCGCGACCUGAACCUAUUUUUGCCGAGCUCUGAUUCUCUUCCGUCCGUGGUCGCAACCGUGGGUUGUUGUGGUCACCGUUAGUCACCCAUUCCGAUCUGCAGAUCUGAGCAGCAGCCACUGUCGUCGACGUGGGUUGGAAGCAGGUUUCCAGAUUUGAUGCAGUUUUGCUUCUUGCACUGCCACGGUUUGAGUAUUUCUUCUCUUCUUUUGGACUUUAUUUUCUCUUGUUCUUGUUGGCAAAUAUUAUAGCUGGAAAUAUGCACUAUUUUCUCACUUCAAUAAUUAAAAUUUGGUAAAAAACUUGAAGAGAUACAAAAUCUCUUGUAACUAGCCGUGGUGUUCCCACAUUUUAUGAUUUAGGAAUGUGAUAGAUAAAAACAGCUGCUUUCUGUUUGAUUCUUGUUUUCUUCUCUGCUUACUGUUGCUAAUUUAUCAAAGUCCUCUUAGCAAACACGAUUUGACAAGAAAAGCUUCCAUUAAUUAAUCGAUGGUUUAUACAUAUAUGAGCUACACUUGAACAGAGUAGUCUUCUGGUCGAGACUUUGUUGUACAUAAUCACUAACAAGUGGAUUAGUCCAAUUCCAUUCAUAACAUUGAGGGUACAGGAGCUGAAAUAUAAUAUAUAUAUAUAUACACAAUUUCUAACGGUACAAGCUAAAAUUACUUGAGAUUGGCUAAAUGGAACACCCAAAAAGGAAACAGUGAAAAUGUCUAAAAUUGCUUCUAAAGCAUUUGCAAGACAGUAGUUGAAUAUAUGAUAAAAGAAGAGGAAAGAAUGAUAAAAAGAAGACAAGAUAUUGUGAAUCUUUUUAUUAAAAUGCCAAAGUGAAAGUGAAAUGAGAGGAAAUGAAAGGUUCGUUUUGAAUAAGAAUUAAAGAAUUUCAAAAAAAUGAUUUUCAACCCUUAAUCCAUUUUUUUUUAAAAAAAAAAAGCAAUUUACUUUGAGUUAUGAUAUAUAUUUAUAUUUAUAUAAGUAUAUAUUUGAGUUAUGAUUUAUUGCUGUGUUUUUUACGAGUAUUUAUCAUCAAGCUAUUCCAAAAAGCAUAUCAGACGCUGACAUUAGUAGAACCUAGCCCCGAGAAACAUUAAUUCAAACUCAAGAAAGUAUGUAAUUUGGGUUGGAUGGAUCACAAUUGUUGCAUGUUGAGUUUGAUGGAUCACAAUCACGGAAUUAUGGAAACUAAUGCUAUCAUUCUGGGGGUUACAAGCAGUUUUGAGGACUUGUAUUUCCAAAGUCUCGUACAGCUGGGAGUUAUAAGCAGUUUUGAGGAUCAAAAUAUGCAUAAAAACAGUCCAAAGAAUUAUGGCUAUGUAUAUGACCUGUAUUCUGAUGUAUGUAGAAUUAUGGCAGUCUUAGAAUUUGAUUUUAGGUUCAUAUAGCGUGAAGAAACAUGUCCAGGACACUGUAAAUGAUUACAUGGGGAAAGUGUUUUUGGCUUUGAAGUAUCUGACUAUCCAAAAUGUGAUGGUUAUGUGCAUUUUUCUUUUGGCUGGGAGUUACAAGCAGUUUUGAGGAUCAAAAUAUGAAUAAAAACAGUCCAAAGAAUUAUAGCUAUGUAUAUGACCUCAUAGUCCUAAUUCUGAUGUAUGUAGAAUUAUGGUAGUCUUAGAAUUUGACUUUAGGUUCAUAUAGCGUGAAGAAACAUGUCCAGGACACCGUAAAUGAUUACAUGGGGAAAGUGUUUUUGGCUUUGAAGUAUGUGACUCUCCAAAAUGUAAUGGUUAUGUGCAUUUUUCUUUUGGCUGGGAGUUCCAAGCAGUUUUGAGAUCAAAAUGUGUAUAAAAACAGUCCAAAGAAUUAUGGCUAUGUAUAUGACCUAUAUUCUGAUGUAUGUAGAA